rnacentral:rRNA from 1 species
AUUGAACGCUGGCGGCAGGCCUAACACAUGCGAGUCGAACGGUAGCACAGAGAGCUUGCUCUUGGGUGACGAGUGGCGGACGGGUGAGUAAUGUCUGGGAAACUGCCCGAUGGAGGGGGAUAACUACUGGAAACGGUAGCUAAUACCGCAUAACGUCUUCGGACCGAAGUGGGGGACCUUCGGGCCUCACACCAUCGGAUGUGCCCAGAUGGGAUUAGCUAGUAGGUGGGGUAAUGGCUCACCUAGGCGACGAUCCCUAGCUGGUCUGAGAGGAUGAGCGACCACACUGGAACUGAGACACGGUCCAGACUCCUACGGGAGGCAGCAGUGGGGAAUAUUGCACAAUGGGGGCAAGCCGGAUGCAGCCAUGCCGCGUGUAUGAAGAAGGCCUUCGGGUUGUUAAGUACUUUCAGCGGGGAGGAAGGCGAUGGAGUUAAUAGCUUCAUCGAUUGACGUUACCCGCAGAAGAAGCACCGGCUAACUCCGUGCCAGCCGCCGCCGUAA